rnacentral:rRNA from 1 species
UACGUAGGUGGCAAGCGUUGUCCGGAUUUACUGGGCGUAAAGAGCGCGCAGGCGGUCGUUCAAGUCGCGUGUGAAAGCCCCCGGCUCAACUGGGGAGGGUCAUUCGAUACUGAUCGACUCGAAGGCAGGAGAGGGAAGUGGAAUUCCCGGUGUAGUGGUGAAAUGCGUAGAUAUCGGGAGGAACACCAGUGGCGAAGGCGACUUCCUGGCCUGUUCUUGACGCUGAGGCGCGAAAGCGUGGGGAGCGAACAGG